rnacentral:rRNA from 1 species
GAUGAACGCUGACAGAAUGCUUAACACAUGCAAGUCUUUGGCGAAGCUGUGCUCGCACAGCCUAGCCAAGGCGGACGGGUGAGUAACGCGUAAGGAACUUGCCCUGCAGUCAGGGAUAACAGACGGAAACGACUGAUAAGACCUGGUAAAGUCAGGCGGACUCAUGUCCAGCCUGAUGAAAAGAGAUGCUGCAGGAGAGCCCUGCGUCCUAUUAGCUUGUUGGUGGGGUAACGGCCCACCAAGGCGAUGAUAGGUAGCCGGCCUGAGAGGGUGGACGGCCACAAGGGGACUGAGAUACGGCCCUUACUCCUACGGGAGGCAGCAGUGGGGAAUAUUGGGCAAUGGGGGCAACCCUGAUCCAGCAAUUCUGUGUGCACGAUGAAGGUUUUCGGAUUGUAAAGUGCUUUCAGCAGGGAAGAAAAAAAUGACGGUACCUGCAGAAGAAGCGACGGCUAAAUACGUG